rnacentral:misc_RNA from 1 species
AAGUCGUAACAAGGUAACCGUAGGUGAACCUGCGGUUGGAUCAUUAUUGAACUUUUUUCUCUCAGCUGUUUAACCGCAGUUGGGAGAGAAUAACACCCCCCUUGUGAACCUUAUAACCGUAACUGGAGUUGGCUCCGCCGAUGUGCGCGUUGCCCAAUGUUUGUUUUGUUUGGUAGCUUCUUGGACUUUUUUAUUAAAGGACAGGAAGCUGCUGAGGAAAGCGAUGCUGGCGCAAUUCGCAUUGAGGGGCCUUCGCCAAAUGUAACCACACCCAUUAUACUGUAUUAUAUUUUGUGUCUCCAUGCGAUUCAAUCUGUGAAACGCGUAUUUAAUAAAAUACAACUUUUGACAACGGAUCUCUUGGCUCUC